rnacentral:rRNA from 1 species
UACGUAGGGUGCAGGCGUUAAUCGGAAUUACUGGGCGUAAAGCGUGCGCAGGCGAUUUGCUAAGACAGGUGUGAAAUCCCCGGGCUUAACCUGGGAACUGCGCUUGUAACUGGCAAGCUUGAGUGUGGCAGAGGGGGGUGGAAUUCCACGUGUAGCAGUGAAAUGCGUAGAGAUGUGGAGGAACACCGAUGGCGAAGGCAGCCCCCUGGGCUAACACUGACGCUCAUGCACGAAAGCGUGGGGAGCAAACAGG